AGUGGCGAACGGGUGAGUAAUAUAUCGGAACGUGCCCAGUCGUGGGGGAUAACGUAGCGAAAGUUACGCUAAUACCGCAUACGAUCUACGGAUGAAAGCGGGGGACCGUAAGGCCUCGCGCGAUUGGAGCGGCCGAUAUCAGAUUAGGUAGUUGGUGGGGUAAAGGCUCACCAAGCCAACGAUCUGUAGCAGUCUGAGAGGACGACCAGCCACACUGGAACUGAGACACGGUCCAGACUCCUACGGGAGGCAGCAGUGGGGAAUUUUGGACAAUGGACGCAAGUCUGAUCCAGCCAUUCCGCGUGCAGGAUGAAGGCCCUCGGGUUGUAAACUGCUUUUGUACGGGACGAAAAGGUCUCUAUUAAUACUAGGGGCUCAUGACGGUACCGUAAGAAUAAGCACCGGCUAACUACGUGCCAGCAGCCGCGGUAAUACGUAGGGUGCAAGCGUUAAUCGGAAUUACUGGGCGUAAAGCGUGCGCAGGCGGUUAUGUAAGACAGAGGUGAAAUCCCCGGGCUCAACCUGGGAACUGCCUUUGUGACUGCAUAGCUAGAGUACGGUAGAGGGGGAUGGAAUUCCGCGUGUAGCAGUGAAAUGCGUAGAUAUGCGGAGGAACACCGAUGGCGAAGGCAAUCCCCUGGACCUGUACUGACGCUCAUGCACGAAAGCGUGGGGAGCAAACAGGAUUAGAUACCCUGGU
rnacentral:rRNA from 1 species